UACGUAGGGGGCAAGCGUUGUCCGGAAUCAUUGGGCGUAAAGCGCGCGUAGGCGGCCCGGUAAGUCCGCUGUGAAAGUCCAGGGCUCAACCCUGGAAAGCCGGUGGAUACUGCCGGGCUAGAGUCCGGAAGAGGCGAGUGGAAUUCCUGGUGUAGCGGUGGAAUGCGCAGAUAUCAGGAGGAACACCAAUAGCGAAGGCAGCUCACUGGCCCGGUACUGACGCUGAGGUGCGAAAGCGUGGGGAGCAAACAGG
rnacentral:rRNA from 1 species